rnacentral:lncRNA from 1 species
CGACGUCUAAAGCCCUUUUUUACACUAGUGAACCGGUAACAAAUUUACUUUUAGGAAACUUGACUAAGUUGCUUUAUCUAUUAAUUACUCAUUUUAAAAUUAUAUCUUACUUUUUUUUUACAUAGUUUAACAUUAAUUUAUGUAUAUUAGUUAUAAUGCAAACAUUAAAAACUAAAAUAUAAUUUUAUAAUUAUUUUGUUACAAUAAAAGGUACUCUCUUUGGCUCUAAUUAUAAGGAUUGUUCU